GUUCGAUAUCUUUGCAGGCUGAAUGGCCUGUUGAUUUGAGAUGCAUAUACCAUGCCUUCCCCCUUUUAUCUUUAAGGAUUCAUGACAUGGGCUGCCGUUGAGGGAACCACACAUCUAUCUUGAUGGCAGAAAUACGGUAUUUGGAAAUCUCGGGAAAACCUCUCUCAGGAUAACAUUUUCAGUAGUAGGUUUUCCUCCCUGUUACCUCUGGUUCCUAUUCCAUUGCCCUUUAUCAGUACAGGCUUUUGAAAAUGCCAUGGAUUAAAGAGGUCCCACUGCCCAGGGCUGAGCGUUUCUUUGCCCGGCCUGGUCUCUGCUAGUGGGUGGGUAAGUGGAGCCUUUGGAAGAAGGAAUCAGUGUAUGGACUGUUCAAGACAGACACAUACUUAUCUAAUUUAGGCAUUUCUAGCUGUAGGAAAGGCAAUGAUGUGAUCUAUUCCAAUGAAGAGUUUACACUUUGGAAACUCAGUUUCAGAAAAUUCUUCCAUAAUCCAACCUAAAUCUUUUCUGCUUUACUAUUUUACUAUUAUUUACUAUCUCUUAAGCCAGAGAUAGGCAACUGCUGUUUUCCCGUCUUAAAACUCUAGAAAACUGGAGUGUAGAGAAUGGGCAAGAUGAGAAUGCCUCAUCUAUGUAUGUGGCUUAGUCAAAAGCUAUUUCCUGAAUCUCUCAUGUUUAGAUUUUCUCAUCAACGUUAAUGACCACUUUCAGGGCCUCACUCCCUGCUCCCCAUCAUGCCUGCAGGUUCCCCCUCUCUUUCUUCUCACCAUUUAACAGGUAUAAUAAAGCUGGGGAAUCUUUACAGUUGGUGAUUUUAUAUCAUAGAUCAAAGAUCAAAGCAGAGGAAUACACAGCAACCGUAAAAUUAACUGCUUUUUCAAUUUUACAAUGCUUUCAGUGAUAGAGAAUCUUAUAAAUUUAAUAUUAAUUAAACACUUAGCUUUUAACCUCCUCCUGCAUCUACUUUUGGCUGGUGGCUGGAAAAAAUUAAUUGGGCAUCUUAAAUCUUGUAUUACUAAUGCCUUGACAGGAGGGGUUUCAGAAGCACUUAGAACUUCAGCAAAAUGUACUUGGAGCAUUUGUCCUUCCACUCACCUAAUUGAAAAUGCCCCCUUUUUUCCUUAAGGAAAAACGAACCAUUUGCAAAUUUUUUUUUAAAGGAAGCAUAAGUUACAGUCCCCUUUCAUAGCCAAAGCUUUAACUCAGUCCCUUGGCACAUUUAACACUUCACAAAAUGGAAGCCAUUGAACUUCCAUUAUUAUAAAUGCUCUAUUGACUUUUGAGUGUGUUGGUACCGAUGUGUGGCCAGCAAUUGCUUGGCCUAAUCAUUGUAUCACCUGAAACCUAUGCAUGUUCGAUCCAGCAAGCGGUGCCUCCUGUUUUGGUGAGCUCACUUUGGCAUGGUAGAGUCAGAGGUGGUGGCAUUUGAGAAUGGACCCGCAGCAUCGUGAACAGGAAAGCUAGAAUAUCAGUGAAAGGAAAUAAUAUUUCUCUUGAAGGAAGCCUCAAGAGAUGGGAAGCCAAUGUGAUGGAGGAGAUGUUUUGGGGAAGCUAGACUAGGCUGUUCACAUUUCCUUAGCUCUGGAAGGAAUAGGCCAUGGCCUUUUGUUGGGGGACAAGCAUUUCUCUCUUUAAAAGCCAGGCAGGCAUUCAUGGCUGUGCUUCAGAAGUGGCUCAGUAGAAAUAAUAAUACCAAUACAUUGCAUCUCUUUUGUAUUUUUUUUCUCCAGUGGGCUUGGAGAACUUUAUCCAGAUAAUCUCAUUUUUCUCACACAUCACUGUGUUAGAGAAGAAGGCCCCUGAAUUUACCCAAGCUGGUUCUCUGCUAUGACCGUAUAUUUGAAACUAGCAACUGGAAAUUAUAGUGAAUAGAGCAAGAACCCCAAGAAUGGAUCUUUCUGUACCUGUUUUAGAUUCAGGUAACUGAGAAAAGUACAUUAAUUGCUUUUUGGGGACAUCUGUUCCUAGCACAGCGCUCAGUGAAAUCCCUUGGGUUUAUGAGUACCUGACUUGGAGAAGAAUUAUAAGAAACAAAAUUUGGGGGAGAAUUUAAAAUGUCAUUAUUUACUUUACAAAAAUGUUUUAAAAAUUUUACUCUGAAAGGCUUCACUGCAGGUUUGCUUUAAAUUGCUAAGUUUUCUAGUCCUGUAGUCAUCUAAUGAGACUAUAAAUCAGUUUACAACUGAUACUUUAGAAGCAUAUUUUUUGAGUAAGGUAAGGGAUAUAGAACAUGCAACAUGGCAGUCCCCUAUCUCCUGCUCUGGGUUGCAAUGGUCUCUUUCUCCGAGUCCAAACAGUCACCUUGACAAUCCUUGAUGGCAGUAGGGAGCAUUUAAUCCAACUGUGAAAUAAUAAAUUAGCUGUGGAGUCACCACCAGAACAGGGAAUCCUGGCUUUAUGCACCUGGCUAGUUUGCACUCCCUGUGAAACCAUCACGGUUCCUUCUCAUUGCAGCUGAGCUUUCUGAAUCUUUUAAGAACUGAAUUGAUGGGAUGUGGAAUUUGAUAGCUGAUAAAUUAAGGAUAUUGGUAAACGUAGCAACUCUAUUAGAAGAUAGCAUUUCCAAGAUCAGUAGCAAUAUUUGCUUGCGUUGUUUGUGAGUGUAUCUGUGGAGGUCCUUUAUAUCUGUAUCUCUCUCUUUCUCUAUCUAUCUAGAUAUAUAUGAUAUGUGGGGUGCUAUAAAAUUUUUAGUGCCUUAGUUUGGGUUGACCGCCUUAUUACUCACGAGUGAGCUAUACAGGUCUUCCUUAACAAGUGGCAAUAAAGGCUUUACAGCACCCCUUACACCGUCACAUAUUUUUGUUUAGGCCACAUAUUGUCUUUUUCUUUUUAAGUCUCCCUUUGCUCAUGUCCCUCUCAAGUACCUUUGUUGCCAUGGCAACAGUUCCAUCGUUUCUUAGGGUAGAGCAGGAUGACAUCUCACGCAAGAUUCUUUAAGUCAAUGCUUGUUUGGACUGACCUCAAACACUCAGCUGGGGCCAGUGCUGUGGCCCUUACCCUGGUCAUCUGUGACACUGUUUUCUCUUUUUUGCUCGAGGCUCUGUUUAUUAGACUGCCAUGUCUGUCUCUACAUUAAUAUUGGCGGUGUCUCCAUGGACCUGUUCCAAGGAAUGGAAAGAAGCUGAUACUCAUGAUCUAAAAUUGAAAAAAAAAUGUUAGUGUUAAGCAUUUUGGGUUAAAUAUGGAGCUUUGUGAGUGGUUGGAUGCAUAGUAAAUACUGUGGCAAGAUGGAAAGAGUGAGGGCAGCUCAUCCUCUGCAUGUCAAUGUUCUCUUCGGAAUUCCCUCACGGGCUUGGUUUUGACAGGUUACCAUGUGCGUUUUUCAGUCCUCUCUGUGUGUCUUUAAGACCCAGCAGACCUACCUUCUCCCUGACUCAUGGAAUAUUAGUCCUAAAAGGGAGUCACAGAACUGAGUCCAGUGCACUGAUUACAUUCUUAGGGAAACUGAGACCCAAAGGGGCAUGUGUCUUGCUAAGAUCACUCAUCCUUUAUUGGUGCAGAUGGGAUGAAAAGCCACAUCUCCCAGUCUUCAGUUGGGCUUCACCUUUGCUACAGUUUGUUAGUUUUUUAAAACAGAAAUUAUUUGAAAGGUUUUACUGUCAAGCUAAUUUCCUCUCAAGCCACUGCAACAUUUCUGUAAAAAGUGGCUGUAGCCAUAGUGGAGACCUCAUCUGGCAAAUGUGGACAGGUGGUGAGACUGUACCUCCAAAUUUCUUAAUUCUUUUUCCAACAAGAAGGUUGGCUUGCCAAUUCUUUGAUCAAAGGUAGGAGUUUCUGUAAUCUGUUCUCUUAACCACAUUUGGGAUGCUUGUAUAUAUGACUACAUAUAUUUAUAUAUUUUUUAUGGGCAAUAUUUUGACUGUUUCUCUUUUGAAAGACAGUGCGAAUGAGUAUGCCAAAAAUCACAGAUGAUAUGAGAAAUGCUAUCAAUAAAAGCAUUUUUUCAGAAAGGUGAAUAAAAUAACCCCAAGAUAACGUAAAAUUUUUCCUAAUGUUAUUUUGCAAAGUCAUUAGAAAACCUAAUGCUUGUGACCAAUGGGGUGAUGCUCGUGGGACAGUACAUGGCUGACGUUGUGGUUUUCACUGGGCAAAAUAAUUCAGAUCUACGAGUCUUUUGGCAUGGGCAUAGACAGAAAGAUUGCAUAAUUUGUUCUUGGAUGACGUGAAAAAGAACCCUGAAUAUAUUUUUCGUUUCUAUGCUUCCAAAGUCUGAGUGGGAUGUUUUACAUGGAUGGGUAAUAUGGGAUUUUAGGAGACAGAUAAUGCUCUGUUUUAGAUCUUCACUUGGUCUUUCCAACUUGUAGGGGUGGUGUGGUGAUCACAUAUUUGACUAGUUGUUAUGCUGUUUUCAUAUUUAAGCUGCCUGUAGCAAUUCAUGAUUUGCUAUCAGUACAUCUGUCAAUCUGUAAUAUUACACUCAAUAUCUGUCUUCUUUUACCCAAAUAUUUGGUAAAAGAGAAAGCUAACAUGCACUAGGUUCCUACCAAGCAGAUAAGAUGAGAUAAUCUAUGUAAAGUACAUAGUAUAACCCUGAAAGGGAUUAUUAGUCCCACUUGACAGAUGUGGAAAAUGAGCCCUAGAGAGAUUAAAUAAAAUAGAACCUUCUAUGACUAAGUGACUAAAUUCAGGUCUCUGAUUUCAAAGCCCAUACUCUUUCCUCUGAGUUGCAUUGCCCCUACCAGGUACUUGGCAAUUACUGUCUUGUGCAAUCUUUGGAUCUUUGCCUUGAUAAUGUGCUUAAUCAUUCCCUUCACAGUUCAUAGUAAAGUAAGAAUGACGAGCAUUUAGCAUCAUCACACACAAGCCUAAGAGUCAGCAAGACUCACCUUACUGUAAAGCUAGCUUCAUCAGCUCCAGCAGCUUUCCAGGUAGCAAGAUGUCACUGGCAGAGUGGAUAAUGAACUAGCACAUGGGCUGCAUCAGGAAGCCCUGGGGACCUCGCAGAAGUUGAGAGUGUGGAGUGGGAGAAUGGGAGAAGGAGUAAUAUAUUAACCUUACUGAUACACAAAGUUGCUCCUUCUUUUUCUUGCAGGUUAGUGCACAUAAUUUUUAUCUCACUAUUACUGUGUUGUUUUUGUUUUUGUUUGGCUUUGCAGUUUAAGAUAGCUUUUAAAAGCCGCCAUCUGGUUUAGGUGCUAGAUGAAAGUUCUGGUUAAAACCAAACAAAUAGUUUCAUAACCUAGUGAGAGAGUUUUUUUUUUUCUUUUUUCUUUUCUACAGUAUUCAAAGUGCUUUCCGAACAAACUUAAAUUUGUUUGGAUGUAAGCAACACAGAGAAGUCAGAAAACGAGGCUCUCAGAUUCAAGUAAUAAAAGCAUGGGAGCUGGAGGAGAGGGACAAAAAAAUUAAGUAAAAGAGGAAAAUAAAAACUCUCACUCUGCAUUGACCCUUUUACUGAGGUGUAAGGUACAAAGCAUAAAUAAUCCACAUGGAGAGUGACAAGUCCACUUACUUAAUUCAUUAUUUAUUUUAGUUAUUGGAGAAGCUCAUUUCUGCUUAGCCUCCGGGCAUAUUUACAAGUGUGAUAGAAAAAAGACAGUCCCUGCCAUUGCUAUUUACAAUCUACAAUAGAUAAUAUAUAAACAAGACAUAUUAUUUUGGUAGACAGAUGCAUCCAGAUACACUUUAAACAAACAAGAGUACAGCAAUUAAUGUGCAUAUGAAAUCCGUAAGAUAAAUCAGCUAUUGUAGCACGUGAAGGAAAUUAAUACAAAUUAAGGAAUUGGAACAGAUUUGGGCCAUAUUCGACUAUUUUCAUAUUAAGAAACAUUAUUUUAGAAGAUCUGUUUGGCUGCAGCGGAGUCAGGAACUGGGCAAGCAGUGUUGUGACUUCCUUGUUCCACAAGCAGAGCCUGGGCAGCACUCAAUAACACCCCUCACCUUCAUAGGCCAUCAGCCGUAGAGAGGCAAAUUAGAGCACUGGCAUAAGCCACAAAUCACAGGCUGUUGUUAGAUUUAGUCUGACCCUUAGCAUCAUUUUAUCGGAGUCCUCUUGAAUUUAAUGUGAUUCCCUUCACACCACCCCCUCUCUGGACAAAUACUAAUAUUGUUAUUGUUAUCGCCAUGAUUACUUGUGGCUGACCUAAUACCCUUCUGCCCUGAAACCACAGGACCUUGCCGCAGCCUAGGCAUUAAUAGCCCUCACAGCACCUCAUUGACAUGGCUGCACUGGAGUUGAAGUUACAAAGCAGGAAGUAUCAUUUAGUGCCCCUGCUACCCUCACCCCUUUCAUCUUUAUUAUGCAGUUUCUUCUUAUGGUGCUGCCCAUUUUCCCAAGGAAUUAAAGUCGCAGAUAUUUUUAUUUCAGGGGAGGGUGAGGGGGAAGUUGGGCUCUGAGUGUAGAGAAGCAAGAGCUGGCACACCUGUCCUUAGGUUCACAGCACAGCCUUUCUCCUGCUGGACACAGGAGUAGGAUGAAAAGCCAACAUCAAUAACCUUGAGUAUAUAGUUUCAUAAUCUAUGAAUAAUUUCAGGAAUUACAGAUGUACUCUUAGUGUAGAACAUGCAGAAUGCCCACCGUGGAUUCAACACUGUGCAAACUAUGUGUUUGGGGUUUUUUCUCAAUUGGUGGCUUUAUAUCAACCUCCCCAGCACACUUAUAUCUAGGCUUUUAUAAUGAUUAAUACACUAGGAAGAAUCAGUGGUACGGACACAUUGGACAUGUGGUAUUUAUGGUCUAGAGGAUAUUAUUACCAGGAACUCAUUGGUGCUCUCCACAAGUUUGAUGUUGGUUGAGCAGUAAACACGGAGGCACAAAAGGAUAUAAUUAAGGUGACUCUGGAAGUCAUCUAAAAAGUGGGAAAUGGAUUUUAUGGUGCCUAGAUCCUAGGGUUCAUGUAGAGUUAAGACCUGGAAGAGACUUUGGAAAUCCCCAGUCUUGUUUUAUAGAUAAGAAAACCUAGAGUGGAUAUCAGUUUGCUUAAGGUCGUACAAUUAGUCAAUGGCAUAGCUAAGACUCAAAACUAGUUUGCCUGUUAAGUCCACCAUAACAUCCUCAAUGUAGAAUGUCCUUGAAUGGAUGAUGUUACUGACUUCUUUUCUUCACAACCAUCUCUCCUCUCUUUCUUUUCUUUUUUUUUUUGAGAUGGACUUUUGCUCUGUUGCCCAAGCUGGAGUGCAGUGGCACAAUCUCGGCUCACUUCAGUCUCUGCCUCCUGGGUUCAAGCAAUUCUCCUGCCUCAGCCUCCCGAGUAGCUGGGAUUACAGGUGUGCGUCACCAUGCCCAGCUAAUUUUCUUAUUUUUAGUAGAGAUGGGGUUUCACCAUGUUGGCCAGGCUGGUCUCGAACUCCUGACCUCAGGUGUUCCACCCACCUUGGCCUUCCAAAGUGCUAGGAUUACAGGCGUGAGCCACAGCACGCAGCCCCUCUCUCUCUUUAGACUAUUAAUAGUUGGGUCAUUUUCUAUUACUAGUAUUUUCACUGCUAGGUCCAUUUUGUUAUUAUUUGGGGACUCAGUAUGGACUGUUUCUUGGAUCUGGUAGAAUUUGAAUGGUGUACGUUAUCAUGAAUACUGAAUUACCUGAGCCUUUCCCUGCAGAUUUCAUGUACUAUACAAGGAAAAGUGUAAUGUAGUGGUUAAGAGCAUGGACUGUAGACUGUGAUUGCCAGGAUUUGAAUCCCAGCUCCUUCAAUUACAUGCUAGUUGUUUUGGACACAUUAUUUAACCUCUCUUUGCUUCAGUUUCCUAAUCUAUGUAAUGGGAAGGAUAAUAGUAGUAUCUACUUCAUAGGUAUCUGCCUCGGAGUUAAUACACAGAAAGCAAUUAAAACAGUGCCUGGUGCAUGUUAAGCCUCACAGUAUAUUUGUUAUUAUUGUUAUUAUUAUUUUCUUCACUCUCCAGCAGUGGCCUUGAGCUACCUAAAAGGUUAUGUAAUUUAAUCUUCCAUUCAACUGAGGAAGGAGCUCUGUUGUAACAGUCCCGGGUGGCGUUAUCCAGCUCUGCUGUGGCACAGCCGUGGAUGAACAGUUUCUUCCUUGUGAGCCAGCUCCCCACCACCUGUAAUGCUCAGUUUUUAGUGCCAGCUUUGUCUUCUGGACCUGCACAGUGUAAGGCUUUUCCUUCUUCUUGUUUGGAGGUAGCUCCAGCGUUGCUCACUGAGUAUUCCCUGUCCUGAAGCCUAUAAUUGUGGGGUUUCUGUGAGAUUUGGCCAGAGGCUUCUUGAGGGAUGUGGCCAGGUGAGUUUCGAAGGUCGAGAUUAGUGCCGUUGACCUUCUGCAGUGCCCUGCCUGGCCCCACACCAGCUGACACUUAUCUAGGACUAAAAGGAUGGUUAUAAUAAAACACCGAUACAGGUAAGUGCUAUGGAAAACAAAACUUAUCAUUUUCCUGGUCCUUAUCUCCUAAAGCAUUUAUUAUUUCAUGAACGCUUUGAAAAGAGAGUGCUUUUUGAGCUUGGGGUACUGUUGAAACUGACUGGACCUGACUACUAUGGCAGUGCUUAAAAUCAGUUUCUUCUUUAGUCCCUCCCGCAAUGCUCGUUGGGUUUCGUUUCUGGAAUAUGAAUUGCCAAAAUUAGUUGAACUGCCUGAUGGAGGAUUGUAAGCUCAAAAAGGAUGUGUCGGCUUCCCAUUAAUACACCAACACCAUCUGAUAGACACAAACUUUCUUUUUACCCAGCAUAAUUGGGCAAGGUCAGGACUCCCUCGGACUUGGUUUGGGGUCUUUGUUGUAGGGAAAUAAGUUCUUUGGGAGAAAUGAUUACUCUCAGUUAUUUCCUAGCCUAUCAGGACCUGGAAAGACCCCAAAUUUUGAGGAUGGGGCCUUUUGGAGAGUGCCAGGUUUCACCAACCAUGUGCACGUGGUUCUAUGUAGACCUGUCCAUUGAUCUUGGAGCCUAUGCUUAGCGUCAUAGGUGACAAGGGGCCAUGUUGCCUGCCUGUAGUGAUGGCAAUUGUGGGCAGGAGUUAACUCUAAGGCUGCGAAUAUUCUGUACCUUCUUUCCUUAUUCUUAUAAGAGGCAAGUGAUACAGCUUAGAGAAGGUAGAAGUGUGUGUGGGGGAAGGGCUUUAUUGUGAGGGUGGGGGUGGGGAGAAAAGGAGGAACAACUGUAAAAAAUGUUAAUUUAUUAAUCACUGAAUAUAUAGCAGUUCAUCUGAAAUGCUGUUGCUAUGCCAACACCCUGGGAGUUUAUUUUCUUAAUCCAAGAGAGGAGCUCUCAGUCCCCUGCUCCCCUGCUGUGUCAUUUGAAUUUGCUGCUGCCACCGCUGCCACCAUGGUAUCUGUUUUAAAAAGUGGGGGGCGAGGGGGGAGGGAGGGGAACCAGGCUAAACCACCAAAGCAGUCAAAUGCAAAGCAGUAAGAGGCCUUUCUCAGUGCGACUUAGUAAAAAUGACACAAAUUAAUAUACUCUACUUAAACCAGACCAAGAUUAAUGGUUCUCUUUCAGUGCAGCUUAGCCCAACUGUCACUCGACAGGCGUUUGUCGGACAAAAUCAACACUAAUCAACAUUUAUUCGUCUCUUGCCCUUGGGUCUGAGGCGCGCGCGGGCUGCGCCAUUCUCCCGCUCGUCUCGCCACGCUUUUCACCCUCCAUCCAGCCUCGCCAUAUAUCACCCUUCCUCCUGUGCCUCUCCUCGGACGGAUCCACACACUCAGCUAUCAGGGUACAUUAGAGGCAUGAUAGAUUUUCUGUUUUAAUUUACAUCUAUUAUAUUGCAACAUAACAGAUUUUGAUUCCGUAGAGACCGGUGUCUCCUAUAGCCAGACUCCUUGGGAGGAUUUCUGCAUUAACUUAUUAAGGUUCGUUAGGAUGCAGCUUCAAAUAGAUUCCCUUCUCUCUGGCUUGUUCUCUCUCUCUCUGUGUGGCAAGCUCAGUAAAGAUGUCUUGGUGUACCUUAUUCACAAGCACAGCUCAUUUUCUUUAGACUUGGCUUCCUGUGCUGGAUCACAUGAGGCUGGCUGGGUUCCUCCUUUACUUUCUGAUUGGACUUUGAUCAGCCAACAAUGGGUGUUGCAAGCUCCCCAGUCCCUGCCUGGUCUGGGUAAAUGGGCCUUGACAAAUCUGGUGGCCUCCAGUCAGUGGGCACCCCCUCCCAGGCUUUAGUUCUAGCCCCCAGCAUCUUUCUCUCUCUCUCUCUUUUUUUUCUCCUUUUGAUCUCAGUUACAGUUAGAUUUUAUUUAUAUUGGAACUCAGGUCUACAGAGAUGGAAGGGGGGAGGAACACAGUUUCUUGGGUUAACCAAGGAGAAGGAUGUUGAAAGCAUGACUGAAAGAGUGAGUCUGAACAAGGCUACUUUCAUUUCUACAUGACCAUCUUGAAGGCAUCUUAUUUCAGCUUGGAACAAGGUGCAUGAGCCCAGCUUGUUUGUUGCAUGUGGGAAGUGUAUAUUUUUAGUUGCCUUGUAGAGUGGCUUUCCACCUCAUUUAUGAAAUUGGCUUUUUAUUUUUAUCCUUUUCUCUUUUUCCCUUUCACCAGAGUUGGAAUGUGAAGCACAGUUUCUACUUGCUGACAUAGUAUUUCCUCUUGAUUUUUAGUGGGGUUGGGGUGUUUUAUGAGUACUAAGGUCACACUGAACUUUGGACACCUAGUCACCUUGUUGCUGGCUGCAGAGAAGAGCUUGAGAAGGAGACAGAAAUCUUCUCGUCUUCUCAUCAUGGCUUUGACAAAUGCCCAGGGAGACUGCGACUUUCUUCUCAACUUGGCUGUAACACUGGAGCCCUUGGCCACUUAGAAGGCCUGAGUUUUUUUAUAUUUUCCACCAAGCUGCUGAUUCUAAACUGUGGUGGGGUUUCUUUCGUGGCCAGAAUGGGGAGAAACCGUGGGCUGAGUUGGGGAUGUGUGGUUUGUGUGUGUUUAUGUGUGGUCACUGAAGUGUAGGAUAUGGUAGGAGGAUGGCUUAGGACUUCCAUUUUGGUUUCUUAUUACACAGCAAUAAAGUAAAUGGGGCUUAGUAUAACUUUGCACUUAUAGAAAUGUAGCUCAAUUUAAGAAACAAAACUCCACCAACAGGAGUGCUCAGUAUCUUCAGCUUGGGAAACUGACCUCGUUAAUUUUAAUGAGGGGAAAAAUUCUCCAGCUGGGGCUGAGAAGAAAAUGAAAUACCAAUGAGGUUAUCACUUUGGAUGAUCUCACUGAAUUCAGACUAUACUCGGAACGAUGCUUGGAGAAUUUUCUAAAAUCCUAUGGAGAGAUUUAGAAGAAAAUGCAUAUGCCCUUGAUAGUAUUAACAGACUGCUUUCCCUGAUAGGCAGAGCCGAACUCUAUAUAGUGCCUCCUAAAGGGGUCAUUUGAAAAGUUAACAUAUUAAAAAGUUGGACCAAAGUAAAACUGAGAGAAAAAAUAGAUUAACGUGAUUCUUAUGUGGGUCUAGCAUGAAAGCAGUGGGGCUGGUCGGACGGUGGCUGAGGCCGUUGACUAUAAGCCAGGGGCUCCUGAGUUCAAGUGCCUACUGGGAUGCUAACUUCCUGUGGGAUUUUGGGCAUCUGUUUUUUAUCGACCAAAGGCAGGAGGUAGGGUGAGGGAGUCCUGUUAUUCAGUAGGCAGCUAUUUGAUUUGCUCAAUAAGUUGAUGACUUUGGCCCUGCUGCUGAGGAGUGACAGAUUGUGACCAAUGAGGUUAAGAUGACUGUAGGACAAGUUUGCCCUCAGUGAGGAGAGGCCUGCCAAGUUCCACUGACGUUUGGUUGGGGACCACAGAAAGAAACAUCACCAUUCAAGGUAUUUGGCCCUUAUUUUGUCCUAGUUCACUAAAUGGCAGAUCCUGGGGAGGAGAUUAUUUCACCAGUGGAUUCUUCAGAGGUAUGGGGGCAGACAGAACAGGCUUUCUUCUCCAAAAGUUCAAGCUUGCUGACUCAAGCUCUUUACUCAUCUCUCUGGCAUGUCACUGCACUCAGGAGAAGAUUUGUGCAACUAUCAGGUGCAAACUCAAGUAUCACCAAAGGGAUACUUUCUGAUUAAAUAGAGCCAUCGUGCUCUGGGGACCAUCUCAAUAUCAAUGGAAUAUUGAGGGGGUCUAUUAAUGUUUAUAAGUUCCUUUGAAAUUCAGCCCUUUUCUUUGAAAGCUGUAAGGCAGCAGUUAAGGGCACUCGUACUGCUGCUAUGGCUGUGUGUGUAUGUGAUGGGAAAGGCUGGUUGCCAAGCAGCGGAGAAUGGACAUAAUCGUGCUGCCUAGCAACAGCGGCAGCGUGGUCACUUGCGCAGAUUUCUGCGCCUCUUCCUGUUUGGUCUGCUGGAAAAUACAGAUGGCUUCUAUGGGUCGCUCUCUGCCCUAGCCAUAGUGAGAGGGCAUCUGUUAGAUGCAUUCCAAGCUCCAGGGGAGACCUGUGUGGAGGUGCAAGAAGGAGGAGCUCUAAGGCUGGGCUAGCUGGAUGAUGCCUUUUUAUCUGGUUAAAGAAGAGUCACCAGGCAGGAAAUGAUGGUAGAGAGAUGGAAGACUACAAAACCCUUGCCAAAUUCUGCACUUUUUGUUAGUUUGUUUGCACUGCGGAAGGAUGAAGACAGUGAGACAGUUACUGAGACCAUCGGCUGCUGUGGACAUCACAGUGGGAGCAGUCUACUGGGUGGGAGGGGUGCUGUCAGGUCUUGGGGACCUUAGUAGGAGACAAGUAAAAUUAUGAUGCAGUGGAAAGGCUCCUUUGAAAACAGGUGAUGGGACACAGUGUAUGCAAUCCUGUGGGCUUUUGCUGCAAGUAGGCAGACCUCUUUCCUUUGACCUUUUUAUUUAUAAAGUCACAAUCUGAGAUCAUCAGAUUGUCAACAACAACAAUAAACCCAAGAUCAUUGGAUCUGAAACCCAACACCUGUAUUGAAUCUUAAGAAAAAGAAGACAGGUUGUAUUCAUUUAGGCAUUGUCUAAGUAAUUAGGAGACAAAAUUUGCUAUUAUCGUAUGUUUCACAGUUAUGUUCUAAAUUUAUGCACCUGUGAGUAGCACUAUAGGUUUUCAUUAAUGUUUGUGUUCUCAUUUGAUCUUUAUAACUACCCUGUGAAAUAGGUACUUAGGACAAACAUUGAUCACCCCUCAUUUUAAAGAUGGAAAAUCUGAGGCUCAGAAAAAUGAAGCUCACAAAUUAUGUCUUAUGACUCCAAACUCCUGCUGGUUUUUUUUUUUGUCUGAAAACUGACUGAUGUGAUCUUAUUUGGACAAAGAAGUGUUGUUGGAAAUAUCAGUCACGUGAAUUAAUUAACAACUUCUUCCUUCCUAGCGAGAGUAAGACCAUGGAGUAGAGCAGAUAUAUUAGUCCAUUCCAUGUGGAAAUCCGGCCUGUAGCUGUAUAUUCGUAUAGCUAUAUGUUGGUAGGAUGGACCUACAUGGUUUAAUGAAAGUGGAAGGAAAAUCUAUUUUCAGUCAGAUCCUAUAGAUAUUUCAUAAGGAAUUAGAACUUAGUUACUUAAAAAUUAUAUUCUAGAGGUUUAUAAAGCAAACAUUUAUUAUAUUCAUUUACCUUUUUAAAAAAUUUUAAGCAAAGCCCAUACUCCUGUUUUGGGGAUAUCUGAAAGAGAGAGCAUUUACAACUUUAGAAUUACAGAUUCAUGAGGGAUCUGAUUUUCUUUUUCAACUUUAAUUUUGGAUUCAGUGGGUACACAUACAGGUUUUGUUACCUGAGUGUAUUGUGUGAUGCUGAGGUUUGGUGUACAGAUAAAGCGAUCUGAUUUUACACUCUUAUGCAGUGGAUCUACCACUACUACAAUGACUGCUACAGGGCUACUAAUGUUUUCUGAAUAUUGUCUAAGUACUUCUAGAAAUAGGAAAGAAGAUCACAGAAUCAUAAAUUCUUCUAUCUUAAAGGAGCCUUCAGGAUAAUUAUUAUUUUACAAAAAAAUGCAGCUAGGCUAUUGUAUACAUCAAACAGGCUGUUUUUUCUCAUGGUGAACUGAAUCUGCUUCAGUGAAACUUUCCCCAUUCUGUCUGAGGUCUCCCUUUGGACACAAUGUAGAAUAAAUCUGUUGCUCUCCUGCA